GUACACGAGCGGCGAACGGGUGAGUAACACGUGGGUGAUCUGCCCUGUACUUCGGGAUAAGCCUGGGAAACUGGGUCUAAUACCGGAUAUGACCCUCGGUUGCAUGACUUUGGGUGGAAAGAUUUAUCGGUACAGGAUGGGCCCGCGGCCUAUCAGCUUGUUGGUGGGGUAACGGCCUACCAAGGCGACGACGGGUAGCCGACCUGAGAGGGUGACCGGCCACACUGGGACUGAGACACGGCCCAGACUCCUACGGGAGGCAGCAGUGGGGAAUAUUGCACAAUGGGCGAAAGCCUGAUGCAGCGACGCCGCGUGGGGGAUGACGGCCUUCGGGUUGUAAACCCCUUUCGACAGGGACGAAGCGCAAGUGACGGUACCUGUAGAAGAAGCACCGGCCAACUACGUGCCAGCAGCCGCGGUAAUACGUAGGGUGCGAGCGUUGUCCGGAAUUACUGGGCGUAAAGAGCUUGUAGGCGGUCUGUCGCGUCUUCUGUGAAAACUUGGGGCUCAACCUUAAGCUUGCAGGGGAUACGGGCAGACUAGAGUACUUCAGGGGAGACUGGAAUUCCUGGUGUAGCGGUGAAAUGCGCAGAUAUCAGGAGGAACACCGGUGGCGAAGGCGGGUCUCUGGGAAGUAACUGACGCUGAGAAGCGAAAGCAUGGGUAGCAAACAGGAUUAGAUACCCUGGUAGUCCAUGCCGUAAACGGUGGGUACUAGGUGUG
rnacentral:rRNA from 1 species